rnacentral:sRNA from 1 species
ACACGUGCAUGCAUGCACACAACACGCACACAUGUGCACACAUACUGGCUUGGUACUGACUGUCCUUGGCCACAGAUUCCACGGAGGGUCUUAGAAUGUAUCCUUGAGGGUAAAGGAGGGGCUGCUGUCAUUUAGACAUUUCUUUAAUCUCUAGCCUUAAGUUGUCAUACUGAGCUAAGAGUUGUCUCCAGCUGGGAACUUUAUUUUAAUUAAUGUUGUACCACGAUAUUAAUAAGAAUUGGGGCUGGGAGAAAUAGCUUGUCUCCCAAGCAACUUAGGCCUGAGUUGGAUCCCAACAACAUAACGGAGCUGGACGUCAUAUGCUUGUCACCCCAGCACUGGUGAGGUGGAGAGAGACAGGUCCCUGUGCCUCACUGGUCCAGUUACUGACCCCAGGUCCCAGUGAGAGACUUGCCUCAAAAGCACAAGGUGACCUUCUCCCCAACCCCAGGGCUCAGAGAACCUUGUGGAAGAGAGGGCAAAAGGAAUGUAAGAGCUGGAGGAAGUACGAGUGCCGUGAGAUGCUGGUUUCCUCACAGGGCUGCUGUACACUUACAGCAGCUGCGGGAUGUGUGGCAACCAGAUCUGCCAGCGUCCCUGCUGGGUUACAAAAUGGGUUC